rnacentral:rRNA from 1 species
AGCGAACGCUGGCGGCAGGCCUAACACAUGCAAGUCGAACGGACCCUUCGGGGUUAGUGGCGGACGGGUGAGUAACACGUGGGAACGUGCCUUUAGGUUCGGAAUAGCUCCUGGAAACGGGUGGUAAUGCCGAAUGUGCCCUUCGGGGGAAAGAUUUAUCGCCUUUAGAGCGGCCCGCGUCUGAUUAGCUAGUUGGUGAGGUAACGGCUCACCAAGGCGACGAUCAGUAGCUGGUCUGAGAGGAUGACCAGCCACACUGGGACUGAGACACGGCCCAAACUCCUACGGGAGCAGCAGUGGGGAAUCUUGCGCAAUGGGCGAAAGCCUGACGCAGCCAUGCCGCGUGAAUGAUGAAGGUCUUA